rnacentral:piRNA from 1 species
UGGAUUUAGACAAGUCACUAUGGGCCUCAGU